GCUUUUCUCAUUGUAGUUUAAGGCACACAACCAGCUUCUAUCAAGUUGCCAAGAACAGAAUAUUUGUAGGGUGUACGAGUCUAAAAUCUUUAAAGGGGCAUAGAAUGGGAGUGUCCCCAACAGAGCAUGGCGAAGCAGCUCCGCAAGCACCUGCCUUUACAGACGCGACUGAUUCCUGCCAACAUUCAGCUCAACUUUCCACUUUUGUACUACG
rnacentral:misc_RNA from 1 species